GAUGAACGCUGGCGGCGUGCCUAAUACAUGCAAGUCGAGCGAACAGACGAGGAGCUUGCUCCUUCGACGUUAGCGGCGGACGGGUGAGUAACACGUAGGUAACCUACCUAUAAGACUGGGAUAACUUCGGGAAACCGGAGCUAAUACCGGAUAAUAUUUCGAACCGCAUGGUUCGAUAGUGAAAGAUGGCUUUGCUAUCACUUAUAGAUGGACCUGCGCCGUAUUAGCUAGUUGGUAAGGUAACGGCUUACCAAGGCAACGAUACGUAGCCGACCUGAGAGGGUGAUCGGCCACACUGGAACUGAGAGACGGUCCAGACUCCUACGGGAGGCAGCAGUAGGGAAUCUUCCGCAAUGGGCGAAAGCCUGACGGAGCAACGCCGCGUGAGUGAUGAAGGUCUUCGGAUCGUAAAACUCUGUUAUUAGGGAAGAACAAACGUGUAAGUAACUGUGCACGUCUUGACGGUACCUAAUCAGAAAGCCACGGCUAACUACGUG
rnacentral:rRNA from 1 species